GCUUACGGCCACACCGGCCUGAGUACGCCUGAUCUCGUCCGAUCUCGGAAGCUAAGCAGGGUCGGCCUGGUUAGUACUGGAUGGGAGACCGCCUGGGAAUACCAGGUGCUGUAAGCU
rnacentral:rRNA from 1 species